AAUUUACGCUAGGGGUGCUUCCAAGCUGAGAGAGAAUCUAUUCUCAACCCUAAUAACCUGACCUAGGUAAUACUAGCGUAGGGAAGUGAUGAUGUUUGCCU
rnacentral:ncRNA from 2 species